rnacentral:rRNA from 1 species
CACGUAGGGCGCGAGCGUUGUCCGGAAUUAUUGGGCGUAAAGAGCUCGUAGGCGGCCUGUUGCGUCCGCUGUGAAAGCCCGGGGCUUAACCCCCGGGUCUGCAGUGGAUACGGGCAGGCUAGAGGUAGGUAGGGGAGAAUGGAAUUCCCGGUGUAGCGGUGAAAUGCGCAGAUAUCGGGAGGAACACCAGCGGCGAAGGCGGCGCUCUGGGCCGGAACUGACGCUGAGGAGCGAAAGCGUGGGUAGCAAACAGG